rnacentral:rRNA from 1 species
AUUGAACGCUGGCGGCAGGCCUAACACAUGCAAGUCGAGCGGAUGAAGGGAGCUUGCUCCUGGAUUCAGCGGCGGACGGGUGAGUAAUGCCUAGGAAUCUGCCUGGUAGUGGGGGAUAACGUCCGGAAACGGGCGCUAAUACCGCAUACGUCCUGAGGGAGAAAGUGGGGGAUCUUCGGACCUCACGCUAUCAGAUGAGCCUAGGUCGGAUUAGCUAGUUGGUGGGGUAAAGGCCUACCAAGGCGACGAUCCGUAACUGGUCUGAGAGGAUGAUCAGUCACACUGGAACUGAGACACGGCCCAGACUCCUACGGGAGGCAGCAGUGGGGAAUAUUGGACAAUGGGCGAAAGCCUGAUCCAGCCAUGCCGCGUGUGUGAAGAAGGUCUUCGGAUCGUAAAGCACUUUAAGUUGGGAGGAAGGGCAGUAAGUUAAUACCUUGCUGUUUUGACGUUACCAACAGAAUAAGCACCGGCUAACUUCGUG